UUCCCUGAAACAAAUCAUACUUUGGGGAUAAUUUCUGGAAGAUCUGCCCUGAAGCUGGAUGGGAGGAAGGUCAAAGCCACCUCCAUUGCAAAGCUGCAGCAGUGACCCCACAAAGGGAACAUCAGUCCCAGAUGGCUUCCAGCACUGGGAAUUCUGAAGACCAGACGGAAAAUAUUCCUCAGUGGAGCCCCAGGAUUUGAGUGACACAACAACAAUAUUCCCUCCAAGCGUGUGGGGCAGCCAGGUGAGAGAGGCUUUGCUGGCACCGCCAGGGAUGCGCUGAUGCUGGCUCCUGGCCCCGGCCGGAGGCUUCGAAGCACACGAUGCUUUCCAAAGUGGGAUUGCACCUGGAGAUUUGCACCUUCUCCAGCCUGGAAGGAGCAGCCAGAAUGGCAGUGCCUUGCUGAGGCUGUGCUACAACAAGUGCCCAGGAGCAAGGAGACCUCUGACCCUUCUGCAGCCCCUGGACACAGCCUGGCAGUGCUGGAGACCUCUCCUACUCCCAGCCAGAGAGAAGGGAUUCUUUUGGCUCUUAAGCAUCAAAAUCAAGCACUCAGCAGCCAAGUUCUCAAAAGUGUAAGUGCUACUGAGAAGGAAGGAUGCUCCCUGAGCCCCAACGUUCCCAUGCCCCUGUGUUACAGUGUUUUUCUCUGCUCUGGCUCUGCAGAGUUUUCCUCCUGGGCUCCUGUCUCUUUCCAUGUACCAGCUUGCUCAGUGAACCAUUAUUCACCCUUUUGCUGUUCCUGGUUGUGCAAUGUGAGCCCCUGUGCCUCACUCACUGCUCCCUAUUCAAAUCCUGCUCCCAACACAGAAUUAUUCAUUUCCUUGGGAGCGCUGUUCUG
rnacentral:lncRNA from 1 species